CCUACGGGAGGCAGCAGUAGGGAAUCUUCGGCAAUGGGGGCAACCCUGACCGAGCAACGCCGCGUGAGUGAAGAAGGUUUUCGGAUCGUAAAGCUCUGUUGUAAGAGAAGAACGAGUGUGAGAGUGGAAAGUUCACACUGUGACGGUAACUUACCAGAAAGGGACGGCUAACUACGUGCCAGCAGCCGCGGUAAUACGUAGGUCCCGAGCGUUAUCCGGAUUUAUUGGGCGUAAAGCGAGCGCAGGCGGUUAGAUAAGUCUGAAGUUAAAGGCUGUGGCUUAACCAUAGUACGCUUUGGAAACUGUUUAACUUGAGUGCAGAAGGGGAGAGUGGAAUUCCAUGUGUAGCGGUGAAAUGCGUAGAUAUAUGGAGGAACACCGGUGGCGAAAGCGGCUCUCUGGUCUGUAACUGACGCUGAGGCUCGAAAGCGUGGGGAGCAAACAGGAUUAGAUACCCCAGUAGUC
rnacentral:rRNA from 1 species